rnacentral:rRNA from 1 species
AGCGAACGCUGGCGGCAGGCUUAACGCAUGCAAGUCGAACGCCCCGCAAGGGGAGUGGCAGACGGGUGAGUAACACGUGGGAACGUACCCUUUGGUUCGGAAUAACUUGGGGAAACUCAAGCUAAUACCGGAUAAGCCCUUAUGGGGAAAGGUUUGCUGACGAAGGAGCGGCCCGCGUCGGAUUAGCUAGUUGGUGAGGUAAGGGCUAACCAAGGCGACGAUCAGUAGCUGGUCUGAGAGGAUGAUCAGCCACACUGGGACUGAGACACGGCCCAGACUCCUACGGGAGGCAGCAGUGGGGAAUAUUGGACAAUGGGGGCAACCCUGAUCCAGCCAUGCCGCGUGAGUGAUGAAGGCCUUAGGGUUGUAAAGCUCUUUUACCCGGGACGAUAAUGACUGUACCGGGAGAAUAAGCCCCGGCUAACUUCGUGCCAGCAGCCGCGGUAA